GCCCACUUCCCGCAUCUCUAUCGCCCUAGCCGCCUCCACGCUCGUGCAUCCUCCCGCGUCAAUCGUGCCCAAACCUCCUCAUCUCGUAUCCCGUGGGACCGAGGUGCGGGCAUGGAGGCGAGCUUCCCUGGCGGCGGCGGCGGCCUGCAGGCAAAGGGUGACGGCGGCGGCGGCGCUGGAUUAGAUCUGCGGGAGAGAGAGAGGAUGAGAGGGGGAGAUAAGGAAGAAGAUGAGAGGGAGAGAGAGAGAGAGAGAGAGAGAGAGAGAGAGAGAGAGAGGAAAGGGGAGAGGGAGGGCUUCUACGUCGCCGCUCUCUGGAUGCACGCCAUCCACCCGCGCACGCUCGCCGCCAACCUCGCCGGCUUCGCCAGGUUCGGCUGCCUCAAGAACCUCCCCGAGAUCCUCUAUCGUUUCCUCCACGGCCCCCGCGAUGAGCGCAAGGACUAGGACGACGUCGCUGCGGCGGCUCCGGGUGCAAGAGAGGCAAGCGACGCUGCGUCGGCGGCCUUGCCGCCGCCGCGGCUGAGGCCGCCAAGGCCCGGCGCGAGAAGGAGGCGGAGCACGCGCAGGCCGUGCUCGCGCACAACGACUCUGACGAGGCCUUCUGCAACCUCUACGACGGCGUCGCCGACAUCUUCGCCGGGCUACUCAAGUCGGACCAGGAGCACCUGCACGCGGGCGACACGGAUCGUGUUCACCGCCAAGUGGUGCCCGUCGCUGCGCCUGUCGUACGACUGCGCGACGCUGCUCUGCGAGGCCAUCGCGCGCUGAGUCUUCCCGCGCGACUCGAGCCCCGAGUACCUCGCUAUCCCCGACAAUCAGUACGCCUACCGCGUCCGCAACCGGCUCCACCGCGAGGUGCAGGUGCCGCUCCGCAAGGUGCUCGAGCUCCCCGAGGUCUACAUGAGCGCCGGAAGUGGGACGAGCUGCCCUGCGCGCGCUUGGCGUCCACGGCCAUCCGCCGGUACAAGUGGCGUCCUGGCUGUUCUUCUUUCUUCUGGGCUUCUCUCUGAUAAACAAAGGAGAUGAUAUUGCAAUGUGCUAACCAGAUUAUUGCUGCACAUUUGUCUGUUUGAUGUCUUGGUUGUGGGAUCUGAAACACUAUGUAUUCAGAUCAACAUUACACAGGCAAGGAGCGAGAUGAUGCCAAGCAGUGGAAGAGAAUGGUAACUAAAGACAACUUUGUUGGUCCUUGAUCAUGGAUUUACAAGAAAGCCAACAGAGUAUGAAAAGGUUCUCAUGGGACUCACCCUGAACUGAAAUCUAUGUUCAACCUUGGUAUAAUUCUAUGACAAAAACCCCAGGUGGUCCAAUUUUUUUUUCUUUCUUUCAUGUUUAUUGUUUUUGGUUUGUUAUAACCGAAUUUAUAGCCUACUAUUCGUGGGUUUCUUUUAUUCUGUUUUGGUGGGUUCUAAGCUAUGAAAUUAGGAACCAUAUAGUUUAUUAGUUUGAGACCUGCUUCAAGAUAAAGAAUGAAAUGAAGAAUUAUUAUUUCAUGAUGACACACAUGACUGUCAAACUGCAGAAAAUACUUGAUUUAUGUACUGUAUGAUUUCUGAGUUCCUUUCCUUUCUAGAUUUAUGUGGGGAGAACUCAUGAGCUUAUGAAUGAGUGAUUCGGAUUUGUCUAAUUGGGAACUAGCAAAUCAUGCAAAGUAAGGGUUUUUCUGCUCAUAUAGACUGGUUGGUCGAUGGCUUCUUGAUACAUCGUACCUUAAACAACAUAAUUUCUGAUUGAGGGGACCAGGUUGAUGCCCUGUUUGAUGUGAAUUUUCUGGGAUGUGCUGCCAUAUACUUCCACCACUGUAUACAACAAUGAGUACAACAUUUAACAUGGGCAUGAUGUUAAAUUUGAGUGAAUCUAAGGGCCUACUGGCUGCAUAAUCUGUGGCUAUAUUUUUUAGACUUAUUUAUUUACUUUUGUGUAUGCAAGGAGCAAUUCUACUAUCUCUUCAUGGUUUAGCGUUUAUAUAUUAGUUGGAUAGUAUCUCUUUAUUCUGUUGUUGUGACUGACUAGCUGCUUACUUAUAUGGACAACUUGAACUGAAAGCAAGAGUAGAAGCCCAUGAGAUGAGACACAAGGAAAAUAUGCAUGGUAUUUUUCAAUUCUAAUGUUUCAGUUCCACUCACCUACUUGACUGGCUACGUGAUGUAUAUACUGAUUUCCUGCUACUGUUUGAGUUAUAACAGUUUUGCUCAUCUGGCAGAAAAUGGCACAUUCAUGAUUCAGUUUGGUUAGCAAGUGCCUAAAUACCCUGGAAAUGUGUUUGAAUCGCACAAAAAAAGUUUGUAGUUCUUAUUCAUACUUGAAACAUGUGAGGCUCUGCAAAUUAAACCAUGUUUUUUUUCAAGGCGCAUAUGGAUUUAGUAGACCACAACUAAACACAUUGUAUAUAUAUGGCCUGUCCUUAGUAAAGGAAACUAUUUUCGUCGCGAGCAUGGCUUUAGUUGAAGGUUCUUACAACAUGAAACUAUUUUCAUCGAGAACAUGUCUUCAGCAGGUCUCUGCGCCAUUUCGCGCAACGGGUCAACUAGUAUUGUAAAUAAUAGCACUAGUAAGAAAUUUUUGGCACUAGCUAGCAGUUUUUGGCAUGGAUUAAGAAAUUUUGGGCAUGUUUUUGCUAUUUUUUGUACACGCCAACUAGUGUCAAAAAACGUCUUACAUUAUGUGACGGAGGAGUAUGUACUCGUACUGUAGCAGUACUAGUACUACUUUCUCAACUAGUAGUGCGAUGUACUGUAUUUCUAGCAUAGUGUACCAGUUUUGAACUCUUAAAUCUCAGGGACAAGGAGCUACAGUUGGAAGUGGAGGGUACUAUUGUUCUUUAUAACCAUCGUUGUACUAUCAAUGCAGGGAAAGUACACCUAUGUAGUGGCCUAGUGGGUAUUCUCGGUACUCUAUUCAGCCCCUCCUCUCACGCACACACUAGCAGCCUGUUUAUCAGCGACGGUUACUGCGGGGGCAGAACAUUUGAGUUAUUGGAUAAAGCGAGACUAGGCUUUUUGCUUCCAUUUGUGGAGGUGUAAUGGAUCUCGUCG
rnacentral:rRNA from 1 species